UACGUAGGGCGCGAGCGUUGUCCGGAAUCAUUGGGCGUAAAGAGCUCGUAGGCGGCCUGUCGCGUCUGCUGUGAAAUCCCGGGGCUUAACCCCGGGCGUGCAGUGGAUACGGGCUGGCUGGAGGCAGGCAGGGGAGAACGGAAUUCCCGGUGUAGCGGUGAAAUGCGCAGAUAUCGGGAGGAACACCGGUGGCGAAGGCGGUUCUCUGGGCCUGACUGACGCUGAGGUGCGAAAGCGUGGGGGAGCAAACAGG
rnacentral:rRNA from 1 species